rnacentral:tRNA from 1 species
GUUUUAAUAAUUUAAAUAAAAAUAUUGAUUUUGUAAAUCAAAAAUAAAUAAUACUUUUAAAACA